ensembl:lncRNA
AGCAUGCAACAUAUUUACACUUCAGACGGUAAAAAUAUCUUCUUCAACCUACCUGUGAUCAACCCAGACAGACUGCGCACAGCAAAAGCUUUGGUGGACAAGGCUGUGAAGUUGAAGAAGGUGUUUUCUGUGCAGGGUCCGUACCCUGUGGUCCGUGCUGCCCUCAGGGCAAGGGGAUGGGUGGAACGUUACCUCCCACGCCCGACCCCACAGAUUAGAUAUGAUUCCUCUUUCAAGUAUAGUGCAGAAGAGGUGGAAAAACAAGACGGCUCAGACAACUUGUAUGACCUCAUGUCUCGCCUGGUUCGUAACGAAUCUACGUAUCUCUACUGGACAAUGCGGAGAGAUGCGAUUGACUGUCGCACACUGCGAAAGGAGCAGAUGAUCAAUCAUUAUGCAAAGGCAGGAACUUUCACCACAAAGGUUGGUUUAUGUGUAAACCUAAGAAACCUGCAGUGGUUUGACGCAGCGGACCCAGACACCUUCUUCCCACGUUGCUACAGGCUCGGCGCAGAGGACGAGAAGCAUGCCUUCAUUGAGGACUUCCGGAGGACAGCCUGCAACAGCCUGUUGCAGUACGUUGUUGAGAGGCAUUACAGGCAGCAGCGGGAGGGAGAAGUUGCCAGGAAGCAAAAUAAGCGUCGAGCCAUGCAAAUGGUUGGCUCUGGAAUGAUUGACACUGCAUUACAAGUUUGCCAGGACUUCCUGGACUGUUUAGAUCAUCAUGAUAUUGACAUUGCCAAAGAAACUUCAUCUUCUCUCACAGAACAACAGUGGGCAGAAUUUCUUCACAACUAUUACCUUGUUGUGCAUGAUGGAGUGGAAAUGGAGGAUAGUGCUUGGUAUGUCGAUCGAUGUCACACAAUGCUGCAGAGGCUGCAAGCGGUCUGUCCGCAGCUUGACACAGACGGAAUCCAUAACAUCUGGAUUGUCAAACCUGGAGCCAAGUCACGCGGCAGAGGCAUCCUGUGUUUUAAUCGACUGCAUGACAUCCUGAAGCUCGUGGACAGCGAUCCUUCUUUGAUCAAGGACAGCAAGUGGGUGGUGCAGAAGUACCUGGAGCGUCCCUUUCUGAUUCAUGGCACCAAGUUCGAUGUACGCCAGUGGUUCCUGGUUACCGACUGGAAUCCCCUGACUGUAUGGUUCUACCGGGAAUGCUACUUGCGCUUCUCUACUCAGCCCUACUCUUUAGAAACACUGGAUAGCUCAAUACACCUAUGCAACAACUCUAUCCAGAAGCACUUCCAGCCAUCAGAGCUACGUCACCCAGAGGUGCCUGAGGACAACAUGUGGUCAUGUGAGCAGUUCUGUUCCUUCCUGUCCAAGCAGGGCCGGGAAGCCCAGUGGAGGGACAUCGUGGUCCCUGGGAUGCAGCAGGCGGUGGUACAUGCCCUACAGACUGCUCAGGACCUUGUGGAGUCGCGGAGGGGUAGCUUUGAGCUCUACGGGGCAGACUUCAUGUUGGGCCGAGACUUGAGACCAUGGCUGAUUGAGAUCAAUGCCAGCCCAACCAUGGCCCCCUCCACAGCUGUGACAGCUCGUCUGUGUGCCGCUGUACAGGAGGAUACCCUACGUGUGGUGCUGGACCGCCGACUUGACCGGAACGCCUCCACUGGUGGCUUCGAGCUCAUAUACAAACAGCCCGCUGUUGAAGUUCCACAGUAUGUGGGAGUAAAUCUGCUGGUGGAGGGGGCUUCCCUGAGACGACCUCGCCUUGCUUCUCAGAGAAGGAACACCUUCCUCCAAGAGCAUGAAGCCGACGCCCAGCCUAGACCCAGCCAGCUGGGACAAGAGGCAGCUGCAAAAACUGCCAAAUCUGCUGUCCGCAAACCAAGAGCAACUGCAGAGAAGCAAGUGCAGCUCAGGCCAACCAUAUCCUACAACAAGACGCCUGCCGCGACCAUAUUCCAUUCUACAGAAAAUGAGAACCACACAGAGAGUGAGAGGAAAGGACUAGCGCCUGUAAGGAGACGGAACCCUGUUGUGUUGGGUCGGCCUUUCAGUCUCUCCCCACUCAGGGUGCCCCGGAAGGUCACCGCAGACCGUUCCGGCCUCAGAGUAGAACCUAGGAACCCAAGACGGCUGGGUUUCACCAGAGCGACAGCUGUCCACUUACCCCAGUAUAACCUGUCCCGCUCUCUGGAUACAGCGUGGAACACUUACCGCUCUCAUAUCCCACACCGCCUGACGCAGCCCACUCUGAAGCCCUUACUACGGGCCCCUCGUGACCUUCCCGCCCUGCAGGGUCCCAUCUUACCACUGAAGGUCAUCAGCCUGCAACUGAGUCUGCUAAACAACACGCACACCAUUCCUCAUACUGCACACGUCUCAAAUCCUGGCCUCCAGAUGCGCCAGUUCUUAUCCCCAAAACAGGCCGUGACCCCCUGCAAGGAAGGUGGUCACAAGUCCUCAUAA